GACGAACGCUGGCGGCGUGCCUAAUACAUGCAAGUCGAACGCAGUGGGGACGGGUGAGUAACACGUGGGUAACCUCCCAUCAGAGGGGAUAACACUUGGAAACAGGUGCUAAACCGAUACUGAUGGAUGGACCCGCGGUGCAUUAGCUAGUUGGUGAGGUAACGGCUCACCAAGGCCACGAUGCAUAGCCGGCCUGGGAUGCUGAUCGGCCCCACUGCGACUGAUACACGGCCCAGACUCCUACGAAAAGCAGCAGUAGGGACUCGUCUGCAAUGGGGUGAACCCUGACCGAGCAACGCCGCGUGAGUGAAGAAGUUUUUCGGAUCGUAAAGCUCUGUUGUUAAGGAAGCGGUACUUAACCAGAAAGGGACGGCUAACUACGUGCCAGCAGCCGCGGUAAUAC
rnacentral:rRNA from 1 species